rnacentral:snRNA from 1 species
GUGCUCACUUUUGCAGGACCUAUACUUAAUUUGGGACACUAUUGAGAUUAUCAUGUCUUGUGCUCAAGAAUGACAUGCAAAUUUGUGACAACACUUGCAUAUUUUU